CACGUAGGGUGCGAGCGUUGUCCGGAAUUAUUGGGCGUAAAGGGCUCGCAGGUGGUGUGUCGCGUCGGCCGUGAAAACCUGCAGCUUAACUGUGGGCUUGCGGUCGAUACGGGCAUCACUGGAGUUCGGCAGGGGAGACUGGAAUUCCUGGUGUAGCAGUGAAAUGCGUAGAUAUCAGGAGGAACACCGAUGGCGAAGGCAGGUCUCUGGGCUGACACUGACGCUCAUGCACGAAAGCGUGGGGAGCAAACAGG
rnacentral:rRNA from 1 species